rnacentral:rRNA from 1 species
AACAGGAUUAGAUACCCUGGUAGUCCACGCCGUAAACGAUGUCGACUUGGAGGUUGUGCCCUUGAGGCGUGGCUUCCGGAGCUAACGCGUUAAGUCGACCGCCUGGGGAGUACGGCCGCAAGGUUAAAACUCAAAUGAAUUGACGGGGGCCCGCACAAGCGGUGGAGCAUGUGGUUUAAUUCGAUGCAACGCGAAGAACCUUACCUACUCUUGACAUCCAGAGAACUUUCCAGAGAUGCUUUGGUGCCUUCGGGAACUCUGAGACAGGUGCUGCAUGGCUGUCGUCAGCUCGUGUUGUGAAAUGUUGGGUUAAGUCCCGCAACGAGCGCAACCCUUAUCCUUUGUUGCCAGCGGUUCGGCCGGGAACUCAAAGGAGACUGCCAGUGAUAAACUGGAGGAAGGUGGGGAUGACGUCAAGUCAUCAUGGCCCUUACGAGUAGGGCUACACACGUGCUACAAUGACGCAUACAAAGAGAAGCGACCUCGCGAGAGCAAGCGGACCUCAUAAAGUGCGUCGUAGUCCGGAUUGGAGUCUGCAACUCGACUCCAUGAAGUCGGAAUCGCUAGUAAUCGUAGAUCAGAAUGCUACGGUGAAUACGUUCCCGGGCCUUGUACACACCGCCCGUCACACCAUGGGAGUGGGUUGCAAAAGAAGUAGGUAGCUUAACCUUCGGGAGGGCGCUUACCACUUUGUGAUUCAUGACUGGGGUGAAGUCGUAACAAGGUAGCCGUA